AUAAAAUAUUCUUAUCUUUUAUAUUUACUGGCUGAUUUACAUUUCAUUUAUGGAAUGUCAUUCUGUCUUCUUAGGGAUUAAAUAAUUCCAAAUAUUUUGUUAUUAUUGUUUUUUAAAUGCUAAGAUAAACACUCUAGUGCCCAUUUUUUUAACAGCUUUAUUGAGCAACAUACAAUACAAUUCCCCCAUUUGCAGGGUAUAACUUUAUAUUUUAAGUAUAUUCACAGGGUUGCACAACCAUUACCACCAUCUAAUUUUAGAAUGUGUUUGUUCUCCUAAAAUAAACCCCAUACCCAUUAGUAAGUCAGUCUUCAUGACCCACCUUUUGCCUACCCCAGCCUUAAGCAACCACUGAUCUACCUUCUGUCCCUAUCAGUUUGCCAAGAGAGACAAAUCCUACACAUUCCACAUAUAAAUGGAAUCACACAAUGUGUGGUCCUGGCUUCUUUCUCUGAGCAUGCUUUGAUGGCUUAGCCCUGUUGCUUCCUUCCUUUUUAUUUCUGAGUAAUACCCCAUUGUACAAAUGGACCUAUUUCAUUUACCCACCCACUGCGAAGGGUCAUUUUCACUUGGGGCUGUUGUAAACAGUGCUGCUGUGAACUUUCACAUGCAGUUGUCUCUGUGUGGAUGGACUUUUUCACCCAGGAGAGGAUUUGCUAGAUCGCAUGGUAACUCUAUAUCUCCCUUUUUAACCUGCUACCUGUUUCUGAUUAUUUCUUUAAAACACACUCCUAGCAUGAAAUUAAUUGGCCAGAGCAUAUGGGCAUCCUUAAAGUUUUUGGUGCAUGUUGCAAAAUUUCACUCCUACAAAUUAUGCCAACUCCUGUUCCUACCAGUAGUGCAAGAGAAUGUUUGAAAAGUACAGAUUUGGGUUCCAGAGACUCUUAAAGGAUCAGACCCACAGUCACCUGAUGUCUGUUUGGACCUGCAGAGACUCCUGAGGUAGCUCUCCUUUUCUAGACAAAGCUUAGCAGAAGGAGCCAGAAGAUCAGGUUUCUUCUCCCAGAGCUGCUACCUACUAGCCUUGCAACCUCAAGCAAUUAUUUCCUUCUUUAUCAAAUGGAGGUAAGACUAGGCCGUUCCUCCCCCCACCCCUACGAAGCAGUUAGAAGGCCAAUGGAGAAAUGCCGUGUAGGAAUGCUUUUGUAACGUGAACACACCCGGACAGGAAUGAGCCUUGACGGCAUGUCACUUUCUGAGAAGCACUGCUUAACUGGUCUGUCCACUGAGUAUAGAGAUUUGGGGCAGGACUUGGUAGUUGGAGGUCAGUGUGGGGGUCGGUGGGGGGUUAGUUCAGACACGUCUGCUUUGACAGAAGCUGAAGACAAGCAAUCUUCCUUACUCUACUGUGAUGUGAUUGCACAGCAUGGUUUCACUGUGUCUUUAAGCUGAACAUCCCCUCUGGCACCAGAGGUUGGGUAGGCAGGAUCAGAGAGGGUAGGGGGCAGGGGAUCCCCCUGACUAGGAAGUACUUGUUGUUACCCAUGGAAAAGCCUUCCCUUCCUUGGAGUGAAAGGUGUCCUCUAGAAAUUAUAACCAGGGGGCUGUGCCCUGCAGCCCUGGCUGGUGCAGGUUUCUUUUCUGAGUCUCCCCAUGAGCCCAGGGCUUCCUCUGUGGCCAGCCAGCAAUCCAUGUGCUAAGAGCCCAAGGGGGGCCCUCCCGGGGCCUGCUCCCUGGCCAACCAUGCUGCCCCCAGGAGGCAUCCAGUGAUCCAGAUCUCCACCCAGGCAACCAUCUGUCCCAUGGCCUUGGGGAUGGCACCUGCCUUCAGGUGGUGAGAGGGGCCACAGAGGCAUUCUGGUGGGGACUGGCCUCCCUGAGGCUGCUGCACAUCUGGCCUGGGCCUGCUGAGGGAGGCCAUAGGAUAAGACAUGUAUACAAACUCCAAGUCAGGGUCGGGGGAUGGCGGAUCCCAGGACAGACCAGGUUCAAUAGACACACUCUGCCAAGUGAGCCACACAUGUCCACCAAAGGCCCGAAUGCUAACUCAGUUUCUUUUUAUAGUACAAGACCCAGAGAGCUUAUCUGAGAGAAGAAGACUUUAAUUAAGUGAGAUUAGCUAUUAGGUAAUAAGUAUCACGUAUGUUUCAGGCACUUCACCUAAGUCAGCUUUAGUCCUCACAGAGAUCAUGAAGGUGGGCAUCACACCCACUUUAAUGAUGUAGAACUGAGAUCCCAUGAGUUCGGGUAACUUGUCCAUAAAGCUAAUAGGCAGCACAGUGGGGCCCACAGCCAGGCCUUGCUCUCCUUGUUUCCUGAAGACAUCAGGGUGUGUCCUGGAACACCACUUGCCCAUCAUGCCAGCCCAUGAUGCAAAGGGCCCUCCAGUGAGGAUCUUGCCCUGGGCCAGGAAGGCUCCUGGGAGGGUGGUGGGUGAAUAAGUAGGGAAGGAGGGGUGAGUGAGCAAGUGGACAGGGGGUCUGGUCCCUGCAGAGCAGAGCAGGAGGCGCAUCAGCCAACCUGCUGAGCAGUCACCCAGGCUCGUGGUUUGGCUCGCCUUGUGCUCGUUCUGGCUCCUUCUCCUUCUUCCUUCUUCCCCUGCAAAUCCCUUUGCAUAAUGGUUUUCCCCUUCCAGUUCAUUUCAAAACAUGUUGAUCCAAGGAGGGCCUGGGCCUCCUCCAGGAGUGUGCUGUUGACAGGAAGCGCUGGUGAUGAGUCACUCCAAAAGCAGGUAUCAAAGAGCUGGGCAGACAGGGUCCGGAGAGCAUACGGGGUCAGCUGAGGAGGACUUCACGUGGUGGGCAGCUACAAGGAGCCCAGUCUGGCAGGCGGCACUCUAUGUGUGUAUGGGACAGAGAUGACAGCCCCCAGGGGGUGCCCUGGGUCAGACCACAGGCUGACCAGUCAGUGAUGGAGAGCUGAUGAAAAGCCAUCUCGGUUCUACACCUGGGGGCCCAGUGUGCUGGAGCCGAAAGGCACUCUUCCUAGUCUAUAGUGCCGGCCCAAUGACUGGCCAGAACCCUAGCAGGAGAGGGCUGGCUGCCUGAUGGUGUCUGUGGCUGACCCACCCAAGGGCCUUAUUUGCAAUGCUGCAGGUGGUGAGGGCCACCUUCAAGUGUGGGCAUCCUGGGGGCACAUGCUGAAGCACUUUGCUCAUCAGGGAGACAGAUUAGCAUGACCAGCAGCCCCGUUGUCACCAUACAUGGACUGUUAUGGACCAAGUGUGUCCCCCCAGACCCAUAUGUUGGAACCCUAAUCCCCAAUGUGAUGGUGUCAGGAAGCAGGAUCUCUGGGAGGUGAUGAGGACAUGAGCGUGGAGCCCCCAUCAUGGGAUCAGUGUCCCUAUAGAGGAGACCCCAGAGAGGCCCCUUGCUCUUUCCUCCAUGUGAGGACACAGUGAGGACACUGUCUGUGAAGUCUCUGAAAUCUGCUGACAUCUUGAUCUUGCAUUUCCAGCUUCCAGGACUGAGAGGAAUCAGUGUCUGUUGUUUAUAAGCUGCCCCAUCUGUGGAGUUCUGUCAGAGCAGCUGGCUGACUAAGAUACAGCCUCACACUUACCUCUGUCAUUGGGAAUAUUCUCCAUGUGUGGGAUGGCCGUGAGGACUGGCCGUGAUACUUUCUGCAGUGUCCAGCUAAAGUACUGCUCACCUAUUUGGUGAAUGCCUACCCUCAUUUAACUCUGUCCUAAGAAUGAGGCUGAAGGCACAAAGAAGCAUGAGACAAAAUUCCAGACCUUAAGAAACUAGUACUCAAAAUGGGAAUCAAAAUAGAGAUGCACAACACAGAAAACAGUGCAGAACACUGCACUCUUGAUUGUGAGAUUGUAUGGUGACAACUCAGAUAAUAUUAGGGGUCUAAGAAGGAAAGCAACUUGAGUCCUAGAUUCCUAAUCAGGGGGGCUUCCUGGAGGUGGUGAAUCCUUGAAUGAUGGGUUCAGAAAAGGGAAGAUGAAAUGCUAGGUGGGAAGAGCAGCAUGAACAGUCAGUACUGAAUAAACAUCAGCUCUAGGCACAGUGGGUGGUUCACUUCUUGGCCCCUCAGCUGUACUCUAGUCAAGUAGUAAAUGUAGGAUGACACCAAGCCCUGUGGGGGUUGAGAGCACAUGCUUCUGGUAGACAUCUCUGCAGUUCACAAACAGUGGAGGUACAGCAGCCCCACUUUUUGAGUGCCUACCAUAUGCUGGGUACUUUGCACAGACUCAUUUCGUUUUCGUAACAAACCUAGGAGGGGCUAUCAUUAUCCUCAUUUCCCAAAUAGGAAAACUGAGGCUGAUGGAGGUUAGAGACUUGCCCAAGAUCACACAGCAGAGUGGCACAGACAGGGUUCCAACCUGGGCCUGCCAGUGCUCUUUCCACUGGCAAAGACCAAAGGUCACUUAGGGAUAAAGGCCUUUGCCCCUACCAUGCCUUUGAAUGCUUGUCCCAUCCUCGAUCCUCCAGAAAACCCUUCCUAACCUCUCCUCAACCACACAGGCUCACUCCUCCGGACUUAACACAUCUUACAUGGAAAGUAUCUUUGUUAACAUUGACAGCAGUUGCCUGGAUGUAGGGGCAGGAGAGGCAGAGGAAACUCUCGGGGGUGACCGUUAUGUUCACUGUCUUGUUUGGGGUGAUGGUUUCACUUGUGUAGUCACAUGUCAAAAUGUAUCAGCUUGCUCACUUUACAUACAUGCAGUUUCUCAUAUGUCAAUUCACCUCAAAAAGCUAUUUUUAAAAAAUCCUAACUCAGGGCUGUCUCACUCCAAAAGAAACACUUGGGAUGGGAAGGGUAUUUCUUUAGUGGCACGAAAGAAUGGCACGCUCCCAGGUGCAGCCCCUGCAAUCACCACUGUGUCUCAGCACUCAGGCCAGCUGUCCCCAGAGGUGCCCGCACACCAUGUCACACCAAGUAUGGUGACACGAAGCUAGCCCCAGAGCUAUUUCACAAAGCCAGCCCUUUUUGCUCAGUAUGUCCUUAAGAAAUGGUGUAGGCCAGGCCCUGCCCUGCCUUUUUUUUUAACAGAUAAGGAAUUGGAGCCAGAGGGAGAAAAGCUCCUACACUCACACUUCAACUCUGAGUCAAGGCAGAAGCUGCAACUGACCUUUCUUCUUUAGCUGCCUCGGGCAGAAACCUGGGACUGAGAGCUCCAUCCCAGAGGCCCAGACGCACCCUCCCCUUCUGUGCACUGAAGGGCUGGUUCCUAGCCAAUGCACCCAGACACCCAGCCAGGCCUACUGGGAGCACAUGGGCCCCUUCUGCAGCCAAGGUGUCCAGGGGUGGGAGACCCUUUCUUCCUGGCCUACUUGCUGGUGUCUUUCAACACAGCUGGGCUCAAUUAUACUGGAUUCUGCACAUUAGAACCACCCAGUUUAGGAUAAAGGCAUGAUUUCCCCCCAAGCACAUCAGUCCAUGUACUGGAGGGAUGAAUUAAUACCACUGGAUUAUCUGGAGGCAGGGUCACCACACUGAGUCUCACAGGUUGCACAACUGCAAAAGGGGGCAGUCAUUUGGUGACCUGCCUGAAGGGAUUUAUGAUUUAAUAGGAACAAACCAACCUUAAUAUACAUCUCUUUUUACUACAAACAAAGGGUUAGGAACAAGCCAACUUGCCUACACCAGUGUCAGGAAUAACAGUGUAGGACAACAUGCUAAGUCCAGGCUGAGUACCAAAUGACCUGGCCUCCUCCAGCCCCAGCUCAGGUGGGAACUAGCUGUUUGACCUGAGGCAGGAGCCUUAGGGGCAUUGUUCCCAAGGAUGUACAGCCUGGGCAAGUGCUGCAGGAACUGUGUGGCCUAAUAAGUACUAUGUAUAGUUUCUUUUUAAGAUAAAAAUCCAGUUAGACUAAAAGACAAGUCUUCUGGCUGAGUCAUUCUCCAGUCCUCUGCUAUCAAACACACAAUCCAUUGCUGGAGGGUCCAGGCCAGGGGCUCAGGCAGGAAAAGCGGGUGGUGCCAGUCCCACCUGAUGGUUUGAACAGAGAUAAGGCCACGCCCUCCACCACUUCUAGUUUUUCACCUGUCUCAGCUGGAACAAAGGGCCUUUUUACGAGCUUAAUGGGGCCUGACUUACUCAGCAAACUUUUCUGUCUGUCUCCUUCUUCUGUAUGAGAACAAAAACAAACCUUUCUAUCCGGGUUUGCUAGGUUCCUUUGAAGGACUUGCAAGCUUUGGUUUAGGCAAACAGGAACCUGGCUGGGACCGCCCUGGUAAAUGAGCCUUUUGGCAAGACUCUCCAGAUGCCUCCUCUGCGCAGAGACUGAGGAGGGGGUGGCGGGAUGGGGAGCAGGAACUGGGACGGGGGAAAAAGCCACUAAUUGGGGGCAGGUGCCAAGAGGCUGGGCUUCCUGAGGGCUGAUGUGCUGACACCACUGAGAACUACGCACCAGGUGCCAGGAUGAGCCCUGGACUGGCUUCAUUUACUGGAACCUACCUGAAUUAGCCUGUGUGACCUCACCACCACCCGAGGAGGGGUGGCCACUGCUCCAAUCUCCAGAUCAGGAAAUGGAGACCAGAGGUUGUGUAACUUUGCCUGAGGCCUCAAGGAUCUGAGCUGUCCCAGUUUCCACUGUUGCCGUUGGCCCAAGUUGCUGGCACCCCCUCAGAGCUGUGCCCUGAAAGGCAGCACAGAUCAGAGGAGAAGAAAAGGAGUUUCAGAGCAACAGAACAGAGCAGAGGGGUCUGAGUCCAUGCACAAAGAAGGAAGAGGCCUGGAAGGAAUCCUGCUCCUCUCCAGUUUCCACUCCAGGGAAACACAGGAUACAGCUCCCCAGACUCUUGGGAGCAGAGUGUGCAGCCACCAUUUCCUGGAGCAGACCCACAGCCUUCCACAGAGAGUCCACCUGCAGUUCUCACCUGGCUUGACACCCACUCGGCCAAGACGUCACAGGGUAUUUUCCACUUAAAAAGCUUAAUUGUCCAGCAGCCACAUUUCUUUCAAACUUAUCCCUGAGGCUUGGUGGAGGGAACUGCAGCUGACAGCCUAACAGGAAGAAAGAAGACUCUGAGCUGUGCCCUUUUCCUCUCUGCUCCGUGCCUGUGGCCACACAGUAGUAUGUCACCCGCACACACACUGCUAGUGGGGCCUCUCACUGGAAUGGUCAGGGAGCCAGGACAGUCUGCCUGUGAGCUCCAGCUGCAUUAGGAGAGGCAGUGGCAGCUGCCCCUGCAUCCCAGGGUGUAUGCUCUCAGCCCACACCUGGACAGCCACCUGUGCCAUUCUCAUCCGGCACCCGUGCCUUAUUUCAGCCUGUGAGAUGGACCUGAGCUGGUGGGCCUGUGCCUCAGAAACAGCCUGCGGUUGCCCACCAGCUCCCAUCAGAUUGCCAGGGGUGCUUCCCAGGAGGCCCUGAGCUCACAGCUAAUGCCAUUGAAAAGUCCGGGGGUGGCAGGUUAUCACCCAAAGUGGACUGAGGGGCUGGAGAUGACUUGGUAUCUCUGCAGAGUUGCCCAUUGCUGGGGCUGCCUGAGCACAGGCUGAAUAGGCCCAGCAGGGCUGAGCUUCCAAAGCCCCCAUCAAUUCUCAUACUCCAUGAGGAUGCCCCCACUCCUGGGGCACCAUGGAGUGGCCAAGGAGCAAGCUUCUCCGUAAAUGAAACAGGAGGUGUGAGCCACCAGAGGACAGUAGAUGAGUAGGAAAAGGGGUCUGGGAACAGUUUCCAGACCUCCUUCCAGCACCAAGAAACUUCUAAGGCAGCCAGGUAUCGUCACAGGACAUGGGGACAUGUGAACUCAGGACUGCUGCCCUUCCUAAAUCUUCCUUUUUUUCUAUUCAAACUCUGUGCUUCAAUAUUCCCAGGUAAAAGUAGCAAGAAUAUGAAUAGCAACAUUUACUAGGUACCAAGGGGGUCCAGGCACAUUUACUAUUAACUCAUUUAAUCCCAAGGGAGGCACAAGACAGCUUGGGAAGGAGAAACAGCCUGCAUGUUUUCCUCGUUUUUGUUGGGAGAAAUGGAGAGAUGGGAUCUUGAAGAAACUCACAGGGAGGAUUUCCCUCUGAAAAGAUACAUCUGUGCUGUAUGGAGGAACCAAGGGGGAAAAGAAGGAACAAGAGAGGAUCAUGGUUUCUGGGGUGGCACAGGGGAAGACCUGGCCCAUGUUCUUGGCUCCUUUGAGGGAGAGGCAGAUGGAAACAUGAGCACCAGUCCCCCGCCCAAGGCUGACAUGGAAGCAGGGCCAAGUGGUUGUCAUACUGGACAGUGGGUGUCUCAACGGCGCAUGUAGACUGAGCAUCAAGGGCCGUGGGACAGCCCCCAGAGCUCUUGGUCAAGGCCCCAAGAAUAUGCCACAAUCUUUACAUGUGAGAAGGAUUGAGCUAGUUAGGUUUCCCAACAGUCUGGCAGGGGAUGGGAGUACAAUCAGAUAUUACACUGUUACAGAAAAAUUAAGUCAGUUCUCUUUCUUUCUGAGUUUUUGGACUGAGAUUCACAUAUGUUGUGUUUCUCUUUCAAUUCCCAACUUAACACUAGGUAGUUCUUCAAAAAUGUUAACUGAAUGAGUAUAAGCGCUGGAGUAGAAAAAGAAUAUUACAGAUUUGUAAUUGGCCAGUGGUUCUCCACGUGCGGUACUGGAACCCCUGGAGGUGUCCAAGAUCCUUUCAUAAUAAUCCAAAGACAUUAAGUACUUUUUUCAUUCUCAUUCUCUCACAGUUGAGUUUUCCACUUAAAAAGUUUUCCUCAACUGUGAGAGCUACAUGAUGCGUGUUAUUGCAACUGAUUAAAUGCAGAAGCAGAUAUUGCAAUCCACUGUCUUCUAUUAAGCCAGACAUUAAAACCAUUUGCAAAAUGUAAAAUAAUGUCACUUUUUUAAUUAAUGUUUUUUGAAAGCCACUUGACCUCUCCAGGCUCAUGUACCAAAUGCAGGCACUGGUUGGAUGGGCUCUCAGGGCUCCAUCCUCAUAGGCAGAGGCAGAGACGGAAGCUCAGUAGAGUCAAAGGGGCCCCUCUGAAAUUAUUGUUCCCUGAGUACACCAUGGGAAUGCUGCAGGAUGGGUUUGCUGGCUAAAAGUAAUUGCCCUAAGGCCUGGGGGUCAAAGGGCUCCUCCCAGAGCCAGAGCCAGAUGAUGUCAGUGCCCAGGCACCAUCAGCAUUCCUGGGUGGCUCAGGUCUGUGGGUGGCUGCUCAGGAAUCUGCCAUCCCUUUGUGCCUCCAGAUAUGCCACCUCUACUCUCUACCUGAGCCCAAAAUGCAGGCACGCGUGUACAUGCAUGCACACUAUAUCAAAUGCUGGAAGUAAUAUGAUUUAAACUCUGAUGCUCUUUCAGGGAAGCCUCGGUGGAGAAACAAAUCUGACGGCCUUGCUUUCAGCCAGCCACCCCUGCCCCAUGUGGCAGCCUCUGCAAGCAGAAACGCUAGGCGAGGGCAGGCUGCCCUCCCAGGGCUGUGACAUCCCCCCUUUCUGGCCCGGGCCCAGCCAGUGCUGCAACCCAUGCUCCUCUGUGGGUCACUUGGAAGCCUGCUCUUGAACAUGGUUAUAAAUGCCCAAUAAUAAACAAACAUGAGCUCUUCUGAAAUGUUCCCAGGAAUAGCCAACUGCCCAAAUUGCCAAGGUUGUUUUUCGGAUCCUGGGAAAAAAAGAAAUGGAGUAUGGUCUAUUUUUUCCAUGCCCAAAGCAGAAUCAUUGGUCACAUAGGUCCAAUUUUAGCUUUCUGGUUCCAUUUUUUUUUUUCUUUUUGUCUUAUCAUCUUAGAGCCUGGGGAAAGCAGGGAGAGGGAGACGAUAAGCAUGAAGGAGAUGGAAGAGGGAGGAAGAUUCUCUUCUGUGCCCACAGCUCUGAGAACUGGUGGACAAACAGGCUCUAGGCUCUCCUAUUCCUCGGCUGGCAGACAGGAGUGGGAAAGGCCUGGGAUCCGGGGGAGCCACAGAGGAACAGCAGCCCCUCCCAAAUCCCACAGAAUCAGAAAACAAAGAGAAAGCUGGGAGAAAAGAGAGGCCCCACUUAAGACUGGUGGCUGAGGCCUCAGGAAAGGAGGCUGGGGAGAGCAAGGGGGUGUGGGGUUACACCCCCUCUCACAGAGCCCAGGCUGCUGGUGCUGGCUCUCUGCUGCUCCGCACCAUCACAGUGGGAUGAGUUCCCACAAACACCAUCCACAGACCCAGCCCCCGGUCCCUCCCCCACAGGACGUGGGCCACCACUCUGCCCUUACCUGCCAGGCUACAAGAUUCAGGCACUUCAGCCCAGUCGUUGCUGAAACACGGGGACCUGUUCUCUGUGCCUGGUGACAAGGGGUCCUUUAGUGAGUCCCGUGAAACAGCAUCAUGCGCCUGUGUAUCUCAGAUGGAGAACAACCCCACACAACGAAAUUCCUCCUGGACCAGGUCCUCAGCUGUCAGUGUGAGGACCCUGGACCCCUAACCGAGCCAGAACCUACACCAGCCACCCAGAAAGUUGUGCCUGGAAUCCUGGAAGCAGUCCAGCAUCACCUGAAGUACUUCAAUUGUUCCUAACCUGCUCCCCAGACCCCUGCCAUCUUCUCCAAAUGUGGAACAUGGGGGUGAAACCCCCUAAAUUCAGCUGCUGGCACUUUGUGGAUUGACCUUUGUUUUGGAUUCCUGGCCUCUGUUUCCCCCACAGGAUCUUACUGGACUUGCCCUUCAUUUCUCCAUGCACUCUGCCAAUCCAGCCCUAAGCAAACAAGCCCACAGACCACCUCCACCCUGGGAGCACAGGGCUCAUACACCCAUUCAUACUAGGCUCUAAGCGCCAACCGUGCUGUUUACCGCCUCAUCCCAACACAAAUGGAACACCUGGGGAUGGACACAGGAGGUGUCUGUGAAGUCAGCAUCCCUUUCUUCCCACCUUCCCGAGGAAGUGAAACAACUUCAACAGAUAUGACUUCAGGAGCUAGGACCCUUGGAGGAGACCAGAUAAAGAGGGUUUAAAUACUGAAAUGUGAAAGCCCUUCUGUGGAUAAAAUGAAGGUUCUGUGGCCAGGAUUCUCACCUGGCCCUGGCUGGCUAGCUCACUACACAUGUGUGUGCAAUAUGUUGUUAUUGACUCUACAUAAAGAGCUCCACCCAGUGUCCUAUGUGACACAGUGGCACAGCUGCAAGGCUGCAGGAGAGCAGAGCAGAGCAUGGAGGGGUGGUAGCGCUGAGGACAGGGGCCCGGAGGACGGCUGUGUGGGCAGAGAGGCCCAGAGGCAGAGACCAGCUUGCUGCCUGAAGCCUUGCUCUGAGUGGAUGAGAUUUUAGUGAUUGACCUGCCACCUUGGAAAUAAAGUUGGGUAUAACCCUUUCACCCCAAGACCGUUCUACUGUCAUUUCUUUGGUCGCGUUGAAUCCAUAGUGAACUUGCCUGGGGCUGAAAUCCAUUGGCAAGACACCUUUCCAUGAUUGCAUGAGGCAAUUUUCUCCCUUCAUUGGGUUCUAUUUUUUACAGGGCACUUUUCAAGGUCCUAAAUUUGCUCAAGAGAUUUGCUGAUGCUGUUGAGACUGGAAUUCAAACGGAAAGCACAUAUGACAGACAGAGAAAAUCCACCUCUGACUGCCCCCUGGCCACCUCCCAGAGGUCGUGACUGCCUCAUUCUUGACAGGGCCCAAAUGAGGAAACUGAAACUCAGAGGGUGAAAUUACAUGCUGAUCAUCUCUCAGUCUUCAAGCAGCCUGGCUGAUGUCAGAACUCCUCAGUGUGACUCCACAACCUGUAUGUUCGUUAACUGCCACAGCUCAGUUGUCCACCUUUCCAGUCUGUGCCCCUCUGGACAGGAGUCCCUUGAGGGCAGGACCAGACAUCCAUCAGCCCUGCAGCCCCCAUCCUUUGCUGAGUGAGGACAAGUUCGGAAGGUACAAAAUGAUGGUAGAUCCCUGUCCAGUGUUAUGGAGGGCAGCUAGGACACCGUGCUCGAAGCCAAAAGAAUCUGUGUCCUCAUAUUCUAGGGGGUCAAGGUUCUAGCAGAGGAGCCCCCCAAAGGGCAGAGAUGGUAACACCAGCCUUACAACCACCUGCACCCCACCUUAGGUGGAAGACUGGGCAGGGGAGAAGGAGGAGAGGUAGGGCCUUAUGGGGAGAGGCUUUUCUUCCCCGGCCUCAUGGGAGAUUUUGCUGCUCUGAAGCCAGGUGAGGUUCAUUCAGAUGCCAGCUUCCUGCAAGCAGGGACGCUAACAUCUCCUUCCCCAGCUAGGUACCUGCUGAGCAGGAGAGGAAUGUGGAGAGAGCUCUGAGGAGUGCAUGACAUGGUCCCCCGCAGUCUGGGGUGGGCACAAAGGGUACUGUAGUGGCCUGGAUUGGCAGGGGCUUUACGAAGCCCUGGCCUGGAAGAGGAGAGGCCAUCCAUCCUUGCUCCACAAGGCUCUGGGAGAUCAGCAAGGGACUCAGAGGCUCCCAUGUCCUCCCAAAAGAGCAGAGGGGAGAGAGGAGAGUUAAGAGCAGGGAACACCCCGACUCAAGAAAGAGAUGGGACGAGUCUGUUGGAGCGGCCCCUGAGGAACAAGCAGCUCAUCUCAGAGAGCCUCCAGCCA